AUACGGAGGGGGCUAGCGUUGCUCGGAAUUACUGGGCGUAAAGGGCGCGUAGGCGGAUCAUAUAGUCAGGCGUGAAAGCCCCGGGCUCAACCUGGGAACUGCGCUUGAUACUGAUGGUCUAGAGUCCGGGAGAGGGUGGCGGAAUUCCCAGUGUAGAGGUGAAAUUCGUAGAUAUUGGGAAGAACACCGGUGGCGAAGGCGGCCACCUGGACCGGUACUGACGCUGAGGCGCGAAAGCGUGGGGAGCAAACAGGAUUAGAAACCCCAGUAGUCC
rnacentral:rRNA from 1 species